CAGUCCUGACCGUUGUUAAUGAACGUCAGUGACUGUAUACGACUCCACUAUAGGGCGAUGGAUUAGCGCCGCGAUCGCCUGUGCCCAGCAGCCGCGGUAAUUCCAGUUCCAAUAGCGUAUACUAAAGUUGUUGCGGUUAAAAAGCUCGUAGUUGGAUCUUGGAAUGUGUUCAAGCGGGUCAGCUUCUGGCUGUGCGCUGCUUGACGUGUUCUUCUAUUUGGUUUUGGUGCGGUGCGCUUAACUGCGUGUCGCUCCCGGCCGAAACGUUUACCUUGAAAAAAUUAGAGUGUUCAAAGCAGACCUGUUUGAGUCUGAAUAUUCGUGCAUGGAAUAAUGAAAUAUGAAUUCGGUUCUAUUUUGUUGGUUUUCGGAACUCGAGUUAAUGAUCAAGAGGGACAGACGGGGGCAUUCGUACUCUGCCGUUAGAGGUGAAAUUCUUGGAUCGGCGGAAGACGCGCAACUGCGAAAGCAUUUGCCAAGAAUGUUUUCUUUAAUCAAGAACGAUAGUCGGAGGUUCGAAGACGAUCAGAUACCGUCCUAGUUUCGACUGUAAACUAUGCCAGCUAACGAUCAGACAGAGUUCUCUACGACUUGUCUGGCAGUUUCCGGGAAACCAAAGCGUUUGGGUUCCGGGGGAAGUAUGGUUGCAAAGCUGAAACUUAAAGGAAUUGACGGAAGGGCACCACCAGGAGUGGAGCCUGCGGCUUAAUUUGACUCAACACGGGGAAACUCACCCGGCCCGGACACAGUGAGGAUUGACAGAUUGAGAGUUCUUUCUUGAUUCUGUGGGUGGUGGUGCAUGGGCCGUUCUUAGUUGGUGGAGCGAUUUGUCUGGUUAAUUCCGAUAACGAACGAGACUCUGGCAUGUUAAAUAGUCGCGGAAGUGCGUAUGCACUUGCCGAAUUGACUUCUUAGAGGGACUAGUGAUUUUAAUUCACACGAGAUUGAGCAAUAACAGGUCUGUGAUGCC
rnacentral:rRNA from 1 species